rnacentral:rRNA from 1 species
GAUGAACGCUGGCGGCGUGCCUAAUACAUGCAAGUCGAGCGAACGGACGAGAAGCUUGCUUCUCUGAUGUUAGCGGCGGACGGGUGAGUAACACGUGGAUAACCUACCUAUAAGACUGGGAUAACUUCGGGAAACCGUAGCUAAUACCGGAUAAUAUUUUGAACCGCAUGGUUCAAAAGUGACAGACGGUCUUGCUGUCACUUAUAGAUGGAUCCGCGCUGCAUUAGCUAGUUGGUAAGGUAACGGCUUACCAAGGCAACGAUGCCUAGCCGAUCUGAGAGGGUGAGCGGCCACACUGGAACUGAGACACGGUCCAGACUCCUACGGGAGGCAGCAGUAGGGAAUCUUCCGCAAUGGGCGAAAGCCUGACGGAGCAACGCCGCGUGUGUGAUGAAGGUCUUCGGAUCGUAAAACUCUGUUAUUAGGGAAGAACAGAUUUGUAAGUAACCGUGCACAUCUUGACGGUACCUAAUCAGAAAGCCACGGCUAACUACGUG